rnacentral:rRNA from 1 species
GGGUCUUGGGAUACUUGGGGUUAAGCGUCUUUGGGUUUGAGUAGUACUAAGCUGGGUGACCUCCUGGGAAGUCCAAAUUUAGGAGCUU